UGAGCCAAGUUUAGGGUUUUCUCAAAACCCAAGCAGUAUUGAACUGAAGAGUUUGAUCAUGGCUCAGAUUGAACGCUGGCGGCAGGCCUAACAC
rnacentral:rRNA from 1 species